CCGUUGCCGGCGACCGGCGCACGGGUGAGUAACACGUAUGCAACCUGCCCGUGGCAGGGGGAUAAGCGGGGGAAACCCCGUCUAAUACCGCGUAACGCGGCCUAGGGAUAUCCCAAGGCCGCCAAAGGGAGCAAUCCCGGCCACGGAUGGGCAUGCGGCGCAUUAGCUAGUCGGCGGGGUAACGGCCCACCGAGGCGACGAUGCGUAGGGGUUCUGAGAGGAAGGCCCCCCACACUGGUACUGAGACACGGACCAGACUCCUACGGAAGGCAGCAG
rnacentral:rRNA from 1 species